rnacentral:lncRNA from 1 species
UGGGGCUUCCCCUCAUGGAGCUUAUCGGGGCAGAGGGACAGCUGAGACCUGAGCAUUCACAAGCUGCAUGGUCAGUGCUGGCAUGGGGAUGUGCAGGGGCCAGGGCCAAAUCGCUAAUCCAUCCAGAAUCUCAGUUCCUCAUCUGUACAAUGGCACACCACUAACUGCCUUCUGGGGCCGGGGGGAUGGUCAAAUGAGAAGGCAGACAGAGACUUUCUCACAUGGCAGUGGGUACAGACAGCGUUUUCCAAAACGGGAGUCUCAAAGCUCGGUUACAAUGGAGUGGGUCAUGAAUAAUUUCUUUGUAAAAGGAAAUAGAACAGAAUAAAAAUAUUAUAUGCAUCAUAUGUAACAAGAGUAUCAUUUUGUGGAACCUACUAAUAACUCGUGUGUGUGUGUGUGUGUGUGUGUGUGUGUAUGAUGCCAGGUCUUGUGGAAAAGUUGUUUUUUUUUUUACUGUGGGUUCAGUUCAAAGAAUUUUGAAGGCUGCUGACGUUCCACGUGGUCAAGAGCAAGCAUUUGAAGUCACGCAUGUUUGGUUUGAAUCCCAGCUCCACCACUUCCUACAUCGUGCAACACUUCCUUCCCCUCACAGGCUGCUGUGAGGACUGAUGAGACAGUGCUUGUGAACAAGAUGCGCAGAACAGCACCUGAGACAUCCUAGGACCUCUAAAUAUUGGUACCUGUUCAUGUUAUCGUUGUCCAUAUCACAUGGCAAGACCUCAAAUAAGAGCUGUCCCUGAUUGAAAACAUGACAGAUGUGUGGCUACAGAGUGAAGAGGUAUAGACAGUGGAAGAAGCACCAGUCUCAGAGGCAGCAAUUUUGGAGUCUGGUCUCAGGUACGCCCUUGACUAUCUGCAAUCUUUGACAAAUUGCUUCCUUCCCUGAGCCUGUUUAUUCACCUGCAAAUUAUGGGAAGGAAGCAGAGACUGUGGUCUGUUCACCCCAUAUCUGUGAUUUCCUUCUUCCUUACUCACACAGCCCUGAUUGGGGGAGCCAUGAACUAGCUACAAAAUCUGCAUUUCCCAACCUCCCUUAUAGCUAUGGCUGGCCGCAUGACCAAUUCUGAUCAAUGAGGCAAAAGCCAAAGUUGUUCCCUUCUUGGGUGGGGUUCCAAGAAGCCUCCUUCGAAAGGAAGCUGACUCCGCUGCCAGGCACCCUUCCCCCUCCUCCUUUCUCCUACCUAGAAUGUGGCCCUGAUGUUUGGAGAGCCAAUGGCCACCUUGUGAUUAGAAGGUGACCUUGAGGGUGAAAGCCACUAGCAGAGGCACUUGGCAGAGAAGAAAGCUAGGAGACGCUAGAGUCUUUGGCGGUACCUUGGAGUUGUGGCCCCAGUUCUGAUCACCCCUGGAUUUCACAGUGCAAGACAGAAA